rnacentral:rRNA from 1 species
GGCCAGCAUCGGGGCGGCGGGGAGCAAAACCAGUGGGGAAUGUACCUUUCGAGGAUUAUAACCCCAAUCCUUACUCCNNCACCAUCCCGAGGCCUGCAAUCUAAGGAUGCUGGCGUAAU